rnacentral:rRNA from 1 species
UGGCGGACGGGUGAGUAAUGUCUGGGAAACUGCCCGAUGGAGGGGGGUAACUACUGGAAACGGUAGCUAAUACCGCAUAACGUCGCAAGACCAAAGAGGGGACCUUAGGGCCUCUUGCCAUCGGAUGUGCCCAGAUGGGAUUAGCUAGUAGGUGGGGUAAUGGCUCACCUAGGCGACGAUCCCUAGCUGGUCUGAGAGGAUGACCAGCCACACUGGAACUGAGACACGGUCCAG